UAGUCCACGCCGUAAACGAUGAUAACUGGUUGUGCGCGAUACACAGUGCGCGACUGAGGGAAACCAUUAAGUUAUCCACCUGGGGAGUACGUUGGCAACAAUGAAACUCAAAGGAAUUGACGGGGGCCCGCACAAGCGGAGGAACAUGUGGUUUAAUUCGAUGAUACGCGAGGAACCUUACCUGGGCUUAAAUGUAGAGUGCAUGAGAUGGAAACAUUUCUUUUCUUCGGAACUCUUUACAAGGUGCUGCAUGGUUGUCGUCAGCUCGCGCCGUGAGGUGUCGGGUUAAGUCCCAUAACGAGCGCAACCCCUAUUGUUAGUUGCUAGCAGGUAAUGCUGAGGACUCUAACGAAACUGCCGGUGUAAACCGAGAGGAAGGUGGGGAUGACGUCAAAUCAGCACGGGCCCUUAUGUCCAGGGGCUACACACGUGUUACAAUGGUCGGUACAGGUGGGGCAGCUACACAGCAAUGUGAUGCUAAUCUCCAAAGCCGAUCUCAGUUCGGGAUC
rnacentral:rRNA from 1 species